rnacentral:sRNA from 1 species
GCCAGGCCUGGUGGUGCACACCUGUAAUCCCAGCUUCUGGGGAGGCUGAAGCAGAAGGUUCACAAGUUCAAAGCCAGCCUCAGCAAAAGUGAGUCCCUAAGCAACUCAGUGAGACCCUGUUUCUA